rnacentral:tRNA from 1 species
AUUUAUAUAGUUUAAUAAUAAAACAAUACAUUUUCAUUGUAUAAAUAAUAUAUAUAUAUUUAUAAAUA